CGUUGAAUUUUUGAGCUCGUUGCAUUCUCAUGCAACUCUGUGCAAGUCAUUUCGGUCCGUUUGGGAGGAUUCCGACUAGUUCUCAAAAAUACUGCGGAAAAAUUGUUACGAAAGUAAUCAGUUUCCAACAAGCAGCGCACGCGGUUGAAAAGAAACAGCCAAAAUCUUUGCAGUGAAUCAACCAGACCAGCCCCAACAACCAGCUGAGGGAUCUAUUUU